CUUGGUCUUAAAUUUCCUUGAUUUCUUCCUUGCUUGUGAAAAUCGAACAUAUACUGUAGAGAAAAUAGGUUUAUACACUGCAAGUACGAUACAUUGAACAAAGAUGAUUCCUCCCAAAAAACAAAUCAACACUUAUUCUUUAUUUGUGUUGUAAUAAAGAUAAUAAAUAACUUGCAACUGGACCCAAUAAUAUUUUCCUCGCUCGAGCAACGUUCUGUACUUUUAGCUAAGACGCCUGUUUCUUCAUACGUCAAAAGUCUUUCUGUUUUCUACAAAUAUGCGUUGGUUUGAACCUUCAUGUAUCAUUUAAAUACGCAACUGCUUCGAAAUGCGGAACCAAAGCAGUGCGACUCACCUCCGGCUGCCAGUGUUGCCCAGACUGUUGUAGUGAGUGUGUGUUAGAUUAUGUGUCUUCUCGAACUCUUGAGCAAUGGUGGAGGUGAGACAAUACUGCCGAAGCCAAUUUCCUGCGGCCUAAUAGAUGUGAUGAGCAGAUGGUGACUACACGUGGGAAUAAACUGAAGGAAAGCUGCUCGCUGGUGCCUCGCUCUAUUGAAGUGACAGGUGGCGCUGGGGAGUUACCACGGCGAGCGGCUGGCUGGCUGCAGUGUUUUGGUCAGCACUGGUCAAUCUUGCCCUACACGCUCUAUUAACCAGUGUUUCCGUCUUCCCGACACCUUCUUCCUGCACCAAGCACCGUCAAGCAUCACCAGAGAGGCACGAGUACGUAAGCUAUCCAACAUCAGAACAGUAUAUGAAUAUGGCAAAUGCUGUUUUGACAUCAUUUCCUGCCAUCCUGAGAAACAGUGAUCUCGAGGAGCAUGAAUUGCAGCUGCAAUGGAAAUUGCGCAUCCAGCGCAAGUUUCAGAAUUCAAGAGGCAGGAUUCCUCAGUGACUGAGGUGACGUCAAGGAAAAAGAAGAUCCCUUGCAUAGCGCCAAAAGAGACUACGUGUCCACUGAUGUAUGGAGUAAAGGCUUACCUUCCACCAAGACCCCAUUCAGAAGAUGAUGAAUCAUUAGAGAGACAUAGACAGUGGCUUGCUCUACAUUGGAUGAAGAAAGAUCCCGAGUUAGAUAAGAUAAUCAAGGAGUUCCUGAGAUUAGAACCACAAGCGGAUGAACCAGACCCAAGAGUAGCAGUUUUGAAAGGGCUGGAGAAAUACGAGUAUAGGCUCCCAAUAAUUGCCAUUCUCAAAAAAAGAAAAGCAGUUCCUCUGUAUAUGGAAACCUUACUUGAACUCUAUGACCACGAUGAAAGUCAAUGCGAGUAAUGUCUAGUUCAAUUUGUUCAUUUCAGUAGCUGGUAGCAAUUUAAUAUAUGUAUCUUUUCAUCAUUAGCAAUGCAUCUUUCACUUUUAUAAGCCUAGUAUUCAUGAAACUAUGCUGCAUGCAAAAACCAAACAUUGUAUUAAGCAUGACCUAUCUAACUGUAAUGCUUGCACCAAUUUCUAUAAAGGUACUAAUUUAAUUGUUAAAUUCCUGCUCUUCUAUCCAAUUUUUGGCUGAGUGCUAUGGCUAAAUAAUUGUUUGCAGCAUAAGUGAUGUUAAAGAUUUUAAUAGGUGUAAAGCAUCUCUCUCUCUCUCUCUCUCUCUCUCUCUCUCUCUCUCUCUCUCUCUCUCUCUCUCUCUCUCUCUCUCUCUCUCUCUCUCUCUCUCUCUCUCUCUCUCUCUCUCUCUCUCUCUCUCUCUCUCUCUCUCUCUCGUAAGGAAAGACAUUAUUUCUAGUGUAAAUAAACCCAAUAGGCUGUCCAAUUUGAAAUUUAAAAUGUAAAUAUUAUCAAUCUUUUUAGAAAUGUUAGCUGCAUCCUCUUCCCUUGCAGUCCAAUAAGACAGGUCACUAAUUCGUGUGGAGAUAGAAUUCUUGGAGUCGACUUUGCCGGCACUAGCGCAAGUGCAAACAGUCUGAUGAAGGUUUCUUCCAUGGUUGUGAUGAAGUUCAGGACUUCUCACACUGUUUUGGUGGAUAUGAUGAGAAGAAUCGGGAGUUCGGAACAUCAGUGCGUUAUGUCGGGGCAUGUAGGUUCGGCUGGGGUUUUCUUUCUUUCUUUCUUUCUUUUUUUUUUCGAUCAGUACUCAUCAUAUUCUUACGAGGACUUGCUAGACAAAGCACUAUUGCAUUAUGAUAUUACCCAAAUAGUGUCUCAAGUAAAAAACAUAAUCGCAUACUCGUACAAAAGAUUUGCUGCUGUGACACAAAGGACAAAAAUCAUUAGUAUACUGGUCGUUCUGAGCAUUCAAUCAAAAUGCUUGUCAUUCAUAUAAUUAGUAGAACCAUCGAGGAGCUUUACUUUUGUUAAUUCUUAUAUGAUAAAGCAAUAAUUACAGGAGACUUUUAAAAGACUGGUACUCAAAUUAGUGGACUGUCCUAUUGGAUGUGACCAUAUCUUCACUUUUUCCUUACACAGUUAAUUUUCUUUUGUUUAUUUGAUUUACUUAUUAUCAUAUUUAUUUAUAUAUUUAUUUAUUUGCACCAGAUGCUUGCUUAGUUAUAUUGGGGUUACUUCACCUGCUUGGAGAAAGGAAAGACUCCAUUUUUACUAAGGUACCAGAAGAAGAACUAAGAACAGGGCAGUCUAGUGUGUAUUUGAUGGUGCACCUGUAGCUGAACCAACAUGUAUUUCUAUGGCUGUAGUCUCAUUGGUAGCAGGGCUUUGUGUUUGAUAUUGAACACCCAAAAAAUUGUGAACAUUUCCUCCGUUUCACAACAUCCCAUCUCUUAGGUAUCAAGUAUGACAAAGGUAACACUUCAAAAACAAGAUCUCUACGUGUAAAACUCAAUGAAGUAAAGACAGAAUUGAGCUACAAAAAUGCAUAAAUCUGCUUCCAAAUAUAUUCAACUCCACACAUAAUGCCUCUCUCUCUCUCUCUCUCUCUCUCUCUCUCUCUCUCUCUCUCUCUCUCUCUCUCUCUCUCUCUCUCUCUCUCUCUCUCUCUCUCUCUCUCUCUCUCUCUCUCUCUCUCUCUCUCUCUCUCUCUCUCUCUCUCUCUCUCUCUCUCUCUCUCUCUCUCUCUCUCUCUCUCUCUCUCUCUCUCUCUCUCCAAAUUGGGAAGUAUUCUUCAUGUACCAUAUGAUGCAUAUAUUUUUAUUUAUUUUUUUAUAUACAUUUUUUACCUUUUUUUUUUAUUUCUGUAUGUUAUUGCAAGUGAUACGUGAAGCUUCUUUAUUACUGUUCUGAGCAUUUCUGUAGAUUUGUUUAGUUAGUAUAUCCCAUAGAAAUACUCAUUUUCUUUUUUUGUGUGGCUUUAAAGGAAAAAUGGUGACAUAUGGAUAUGAUCUGGGUUAAAAGCUUGUACAAAUAAGGUUAAAUGUCUAUUUUUGCACUGGUUGUUUCCCUAAGUUUCUUAAAAGUACCGUGAUAUAAUGAUUAGCAGUGGACUAAUUAAUUGUUCUUUACAGGGUCUGUAACUCCUUACAUUUAAUUUAUGUUAACUUUACUUACAUAUUUUUUCCUUUAGUUUAUGAAUGGGAGGAAGGUUUAAUAUUCAUAUCUUAAGAGAUGCUUACUUUCUUUUCCACAUUGCAAGUUUUAGUGAUUAAUACUCACAAAUGUGUAUUAUUUACUUAAUGGCUUGUCAAAACAGGUUGUUUUUGUGUUGCUUUUUUUUUUCUCAUGCUAGGAUGAAGUGUUACUAAUGGAAUUUAUUUUUUACAUCUGUUUUAUAUAUCAUUACAGUUUUGAGGGGAGCUUUCUGUUAAAUGUUCAAGUGAAAAGCAUACUAUACUAUAGAUGAUAAAAAUUAUAGUGUUUAUUUUUUUAUUAUUAUUUUUUUUUUUAAUGCAAUGAAAUGGAGGGAACAUUUAAUUGUAUAUG